rnacentral:rRNA from 1 species
AUGAACGCUGGCGGCGUGCUUAACACAUGCAAGUCGAACGAUGAAGCCCAGCUUGCUGGGUGGAUUAGUGGCGAACGGGUGAGUAACACGUGAGUAACCUGCCCUUAACUCUGGGAUAAGCCUGGGAAUCUGGGUCUAAUACCGGAUAGGAGCGUCCACCGCAUGGUGGGUGUUGGAAAGAUUUAUCGGUUUUGGAUGGACUCGCGGCCUAUCAGCUUGUUGGUGAGGUAAUGGCUCACCAAGGCGACGACGGGUAGCCGGCCUGAGAGGGUGACCGGCCACACUGGGACUGAGACACGGCCCAGACUCCUACGGGAGGCAGCAGUGGGGAAUAUUGCACAAUGGGCGCAAGCCUGAUGCAGCGACGCCGCGUGAGGGAUGACGGCCUUCGGGUUGUAAACCUCUUUCAGUAGGGAAGAAGCGAAAGUGACGGUACCUGCAGAAGAAGCACCGGCUAACUACGUG